GAUGAACGUUGGCGGCGUGCCUAAUACAUGCAAGUCGAACGAAGACUGUAGUAAUACUGUCUUAGUGGCGAACGGGUGAGUAACGCGUGGGUGACCUGCCCCGAAGUGUGGGAUAACAGUCCGAAAGGAUUGCUAAUACUGCAUAAUAUCCAAGAGAUUAGAUGCUUUUUGGAUUAAAGGAGUAAUUCGCUUCGGGAGGGGCCCGCGUCCCAUCAGCUAGUUGGUAAGGUAAUGGCUUACCAAGGCGAUGACGGGUAGGGGACCUGAGAGGGUGGCCCCCCACAAUGGAACUGAAACACGGUCCAUACACCUACGGGUGGCAGCAGUAGGGAAUAUUAGUAAUGGGCGAAAGCCUGAACUAGCAACGCCGCGUGUGCGAAGAAGGCCUUCGGGUCGUAAAGCACUUUUUGAGAGGAUGAGGAAGGACGGUACUCUCAGAAUAAGUCUCGGCUAACUACGUGCCAGCAGCCGCGGUAAGAUCACGUGUA
rnacentral:rRNA from 1 species